GGAGGAAAGUAGGGGAUCGCAAGACCUUGCGCUUUUGGAGCGGCCGAUGUCUGAUUAGCUAGUUGGUGAGGUAAAGGCUUACCAAGGCUUCGAUCAGUAGCUGGUCUGAGAGGACGACCAGCCACACUGGGACUGAGACACGGCCCAGACUCCUACGGGAGGCAGCAGUGGGGAAUUUUGGACAAUGGGGGAAACCCUGAUCCAGCCAUGCCGCGUGAGUGAAGAAGGCCUUCGGGUUGUAAAGCUCUUUCAGCCGGAACGAAAAGGUCACGGCUAAUACCCGUGACAAAUGACGGUACCGGAAGAAGAAGCACCGGCUAACUACGUGCCAGCAGCCGCGGUAAUACGUAGGGUGCAAGCGUUAAUCGGAAUUACUGGGCGUAAAGCGUGCGCAGGCGGUUUUGUAAGUCAGAUGUGAAAUCCCCGGGCUUAACCUGGGAACUGCGUUUGAAACUACAAAGCUAG
rnacentral:rRNA from 1 species